UACGGGAGGCAGCAGUGGGGAAUAUUGCACAAUGGGCGCAAGCCUGAUGCAGCCAUGCCGCGUGUAUGAAAAAGGCCUUCGGGUUGUAAAGUACUUUCAGUCGUGAGGAAGGUGUUAAGGUUAAUAACCUUAGCAAUUGACGUUAGCGACAGAAGAAGCACCGGCUAACUCCGUGCCAGCAGCCGCGGUAAUACGGAGGGUGCGAGCCGUUAAUCGGAAUUACUGGGCGUAAAGGGCACGCAGGCGGUUAAUUAAGUUGGAUGUGAAAUCCCCGGGCUUAACCUGGGAAUGGCAUUCAAGACUGGUUAGCUAGAGUCUUGUAGAGGGGGUAGAAUUCCAUGUGUAGCGGUGAAAUGCGUAGAGAUGUGGAGGAAUACCGGUGGCGAAGGCGGCCCCUGGACAAAGACUGACGCUCAUGUGCGAAAGCGUGGGGAGCAAACAGGGAUUAGAUACC
rnacentral:rRNA from 1 species